rnacentral:rRNA from 1 species
GGGUGCUCGAGUGGCGAACGGGUGAGUAACACGUGAGUAACCUGCCUUGACUUUGGGAUAACUUCAGGAAACUGGGGCUAAUACCGGAUAGGAGCUCCUGCUGCAUGGUGGGGGUUGGAAAGUUUCGGCGGUUGGGGAUGGACUCGCGGCUUAUCAGCUUGUUGGUGGGGUAGUGGCUUACCAAGGCUUUGACGGGUAGCCGGCCUGAGAGGGUGACCGGCCACAUUGGGACUGAGAUACGGCCCAG